rnacentral:rRNA from 1 species
UACGUAGGGGGCAAGCGUUGUCCGGAAUCAUUGGGCGUAAAGAGCGUGUAGGCGGCUCGGUAAGUCCGCUCUGAAAGCCCGGGGCUCAACCCCGGGAGGCGGGCGGAUACUGUCGGGCUAGAGUCCGGAAGAGGCGAGUGGAAUUCCUGGUGUAGCGGUGAAAUGCGCAGAUAUCAGGAGGAACACCAAUGGCGAAGGCAGCUCGCUGGGACGGUACUGACGCUGAGGCACGAAAGCGUGGGUAGCAAACAGG